AACCAGGAGGUUGGCUUAGAAGCAGCCAUCCUUUAAAGAAAGCGUAACAGCUCACUGGUCUAGCGAUUCUGCGCCGAAAAUAUAACGGGGCUAAGACAAGCACCGAAGCUUUAGAUUUGGAUUUAUCCAAGUGGUAGGAGAGCGUUCCAUUCAGCGUUGAAGGUACACCGGUAAGGAGUGCUGGAGCGGAUGGAAGUGAGCAUGCAGGCAUGAGUAGCGAGAAAAGGGAUGAGAAUUCCCUUCGCCGUAAACCCAAGGUUUCCUACGCGAUGCUCGUCAUCGUAGGGUUAGUCGGGACCUAAGUCGAGUCCGAAAGGGGUAGACGAUGGCAAAUAGGUUAAUAUUCCUAUACCGACAUUACAUCAUUUGAGUGAUGGGGGGACGCAUAGAGUUAGACGAGGUCACUGAUGGAAUAGUGGCUCGAAGGACGUAGGUCGUGAAGUAGGCAAAUCCGCUUCACACGAGACCGAGAUCUUACAGGCAGACCAAUCACUUCGGUGAGCGGUUUGAAUCGUCGAUACUGUCGUGCCGAGAAAAGCCUCUAAACGAGAUGUAAUGUUGCCCGUACCGUAAACCAACACAGGUGGGUGAGAUGAGUAUUCUAAGGCGCGUGGAUGAACCAUUGUUAAGGAACUCUGCAAAAUAGCACCGUAUCUUCGGUAUAAGGUGUGCCCUUUAUGUUAAGAGAUUUACUCUCGAAAGCAUUCUAGGGUCGCAGCAAAGUGUCCCUCCCGACUGUUUACCAAAAACACAGCACUCUGCUAACUCGUAAGAGGAUGUAUAGGGUGUGACGCCUGCCCGGUGCUUGAAUGUUAAAAGGAUUGCUUAGCUUUGCGAAGGCAUGAAUUGAAGCACAAGUAAACGGCGGCCGUAACUAUAACGGUCCUAAGGUAGCGAAAUUCCUUGUCGGUUAAAUACCGACCUGCAUGAAUGGCGUAACGAGAUGGGAGCUGUCUCAACCAGGGAUCCAGUGAAAUUGUAGUGGAGGUGAAAAUUCCUCCUACCCGCGGAAAGACGGAAAGACCCCGUGCACCUUUACUAUAGCUUGACACUGCUAUUGGGAUAUUCAUGUGCAGGAUAGGUGGGAGCCAUUGAUUCAUAGUCGCCAGAUUAUGAUGAGGCAUCCUUGAGAUACCACCCUUGAAUAUUCUGAUAGCUAACUCCGUACAAUUAUCUUGUGCGAGGACAAUGUCUGGUGGGUAGUUUGACUGGGGCGGUCGCCUCCUAAAAAGUAACGGAGGCUUACAAAGGUUAGCUCAGGUGGGUUGGAAAUCCACCGUAGAGUAUAAUGGCAUAAGCUAGCCUGACUGUGAGACAUACAAGUCGAGCAGAGUCGAAAGACGGUCAUAGUGAUCCGGUGGUUCUGUGUGGAAGGGCCAUCGCUCAAAGGAUAAAAGGUACGCCGGGGAUAACAGGCUGAUCUCCCCCAAGAGCUCACAUCGACGGGGAGGUUUGGCACCUCGAUGUCGGCUCAUCGCAUCCUGGGGCUGAAGCAGGUCCCAAGGGUUGGGCUGUUCGCCCAUUAAAGCGGUACGCGAGCUGGGUUCAGAACGUCGUGAGACAGUUCGGUCCCUAUCUUCCGUGGGCGUAGGAUUGUUGAGGAGAGUUGACCCUAGUACGAGAGGACCGGGUUGAACGUGCCACUGGUGCACCAGUUGUUCUGCCAAGAGCAUCGCUGGGUAGCUACGCACGGAUGAGAUAACCGCUGAAAGCAUCUAAGCGGGAAGCCAACUCCAAGAUGAACAAUCCCUGAAGUACGCUUGAAGACUACAAGCUUGAUAGGCUGGAUGUGUACGCAGAGUAAUCUGUUUAGCUGACCAGUACUAAUAGUACGUUCGUCUUUUUU
rnacentral:rRNA from 1 species